rnacentral:lncRNA from 1 species
CCUAGUGUAGUCAAUUAAAAGAUUUUAGAAUCCAUUAAAAUCUAGGUGCAGUCAAUUAAAAGAUUUUAAAGGAUCCAUCCAAAUCUAAGUGUAUUAAAAAAAUUAAGAUUUUGAAGGAUUUCAGUAAGUUGUGGAUUUUGUGGGAUUUGAAAGCAAAAAGUAUGUAUAACCAAAACUAAAAAGAAUCCAACCUCACCCCCUAGGAUUUCAAAUCCUUCCCCCCACAAUCCACCACAAUCCAUUCAAAUUAUUUAAAAUCCAUAUGAAUUUUGUAGGAGUCCUUAAUCCUCUUAAAUCCUAUCCAAUCUAUCACUUUAAAAUCCUUUAAAAUCCUUUAAAAUCUUAGUUUGACUACACCCUCUUAAGAUUUGAGUACAAAAUCGAAAGGACAAACUGACUCAUCUGAAUAUGCAAGCAGAUAUAAAUGCAAGAAAUAAUAAAAUAUUAAGAUUUGAGUCCAAAAUCAAAAGCAAGAAGUGACUCAUCUAAAGGUGCAACAGAGUAUAAACCAUUAUGAGUGAAUCCUAGACUGAGGAACGACGGCUGUUCACGAUCCCCACUCUUCCCUCUCUGUUUCUCUCCCCGCAUCCCGACGACCCAUUCUCUUUCUCUCACAGUCACCUUCAAAGCCACCAAUUCAAAGAAAGAAAGGGGAGUCUAGAGAGCUAGUGGUUGUUUGAUGGAGUUGAGGCUUGCCGAAGUGGCGAAUUGUGAUGUGGUCUCAGGCCUCUUGGCCUCUGGGUUUUACGAAGAAGGGGAAGAUGGUGAGGGUUGAGAGAGAUGGAGAGUUGGGAGAAAGAGAAAGGGUUAAUUAUAACAAAGAUGAAGCACAUCCGCAAACAAUGGCAGAAAUGUAAAUAAUGUAAAAUAGAGGGCCCAUUUUAGAAUAGACUAGUAAAACCGUAAACAUAUGGAAAUCUGGUCAGAGACAAAAUUACCCUCAUAACCUUUAUUAAUUCCCGUCCAACCCAGCCCAUAUCAGAUGGGUUUCUUGCAAAUAAGAUGAAAUCGAGGCACAUUUGUUUCACUAUAGCCAGGAACAGGCCAAUUGCCAUCUAACUUUAGAAUGGAUAAUGUUCACCUGAAAGUUUUCCUUUUGGGCCGAGCUCAAAGUCACACUCGACCCAAGCCCAAUAAUAUGGGUCCAAAUACAAACACAUCAAAUUUGGAAUAUGUUUCAAUGAUAACCAAUAAAAUGGUUGCAGUUCAUAUUGUGGGAAAUAUUGUGGAUCAGGCCUAGAUGAGUGGUUACUGUCAUCUUAAAGCAUAGUUAGCGUGGUUCAAACAUGGGAAAUAUUGUGGAUUGGAAGGAUGGAUAGCCUGCCAAUUUGCUAA